rnacentral:lncRNA from 1 species
AAACAAGCUUGAAAUGCAAGUCCACUCACCGGUAUUCGUUGAGCCUUUAGCCGACUCUUAAUUCCCCUAAUGAUCCAAUUGGGGUGAUGGGGCUUUGUUAGCACCUACCAUCAAAUUAACAUUUCCAUAAUGUCAAUUUACAUACUAUAAACCCUAAAAGCUAUCUUUUAGCUAGCUUUCAAUUGCCAUUUAAAUGGCCAUCCAUUUUCACUUUCCUAUCACUCCAAAGUGAAUUAACAAUCUCAACUACAAAAUAUUCACAAAUCAAAUCUUUAGUCAUUCUCAACACUUAAAACCCAAUACUAGUUUACUACUCACCUUGAUAGCUUUGUAACUUUGAACUUCUUUCCAAAAGCUCUCAAGCUAUUAAUAAAGCUUCCUCUUUCUCUCCCUAAAAC